rnacentral:rRNA from 1 species
UACAGAGGUCUCAAGCGUUGUUCGGAUUCAUUGGGCGUAAAGGGUGCGUAGGUGGCGCUGUAAGUCAGGUGUGAAAUUUCGGAGCUUAACUCCGAAACUGCAUUUGAUACUGCGGUGCUCGAGGACUGGAGAGGAGACUGGAAUUUACGGUGUAGCAGUGAAAUGCGUAGAGAUCGUAAGGAAGACCAGUGGCGAAGGCGGGGUCUCUGGACAGUUCCUGACACUGAGGCACGAAGGCCAGGGGGAGCAAACGGG